rnacentral:rRNA from 1 species
AGUGAACGCUGGCGGUAGGCCUAACACAUGCAAGUCGAACGGCAGCACAGUAAGAGCUUGCUCUUACGGGUGGCGAGUGGCGGACGGGUGAGGAAUACCUCGGAAUCUACUUUUUCGUGGGGGAUAACGUAGGGAAACUUACGCUAAUACCGCAUACGACCUACGGGUGAAAUCAGGGGAUCUUCGGACCUUGCGCGAUUCAAUGAGCCGAUGUCGGAUUAGCUAGUUGGCGGGGUAAAGGCCCACCAAGGCGACGAUCCGUAGCUGGUCUGAGAGGAUGAUCAGCCACACUGGAACUGAGACACGGUCCAGACUCCUACGGGAGGCAGCAGUGGGGAAUAUUGGACAAUGGGCGCAAGCCUGAUCCAGCCAUACCGCGUGGGUGAAGAAGGCCUUCGGGUUGUAAAGCCCUUUUGUUGGGAAAGAAAAGCAGCAGGUUAAUACCCCGCUGUUCUGACGGUACCCAAAGAAUAAGCACCGGCUAACUUCGUG